GUGUGUCUCACUUUGGCAUCUCUUAUAUUCUAAGAUUGGAACAAUACAGAGUUUAGCAUAGCCCCAGCAUAUGGGUGACACAUAAGUUUGGAAGCAUUCUAUAUUUAA
rnacentral:snRNA from 1 species